UACGGGGGGGGCAAGCGUUGUUCGGAAUUACUGGGCGUAAAGGGCGCGUAGGCGGCCUGCUAAGUCGGAUGUGAAAUCCCUCGGCUCAACCGAGGAACUGCAUCCGAUACUGGCGGGCUUGAAUCCGGGAGAGGGAUGUGGAAUUCCAGGUGUAGCGGUGAAAUGCGUAGAUAUCUGGAGGAACACCGGUGGCGAAGGCGGCAUCCUGGACCGGUAUUGACGCUGAGGCGCGAAAGCGUGGGGAGUGAACAGG
rnacentral:rRNA from 1 species